CCGCGCUUGGUUUCCGCAGGAAUUGUCUGCCAGGCUUCUGGAGGCACCUGGGCCGUGUGGGUUCACAGCGGUCAUCCAGGGAAUGGAUGGACAUGCCCCCACCUCUGCUGAAUGGAGCCCCACCAUCCUUCAAUGACCAGCUGGCACCUCGUCCUUGACGUGCCCCAUCGCACUUCCUUCUCCCGCCCACGAGGACCUCGGUAAUGUCGCCCCUGAAACUGCUGCGGAACCUGGAGCCCACUGUAACCCAGAAUUGGAAUCCCAGCUCAGCCCCUGCACACCUGAUUGCCCGGAGAAAUGCCUUAUUCCUGACAGCCUCUUGGUUCUUUUCCGUCUCCGGUUAGGUGAGAAGGUCAAUCUGGCCCUGCGGGUUAUGUUGGGGGUUACAUGAGAACCUCAUUGGCAUGAAGAGGCCAGGCAGGUCCUCCGACAGUGCCACAGCCCCAGGCUUGUGCCGCCAAAUCACGGAGGCCUUCCGGGCCCUGAACACGAACCGGACGGGGCCUUCCCGCAUUACUACCCGAAUGACACUGCUGGGGGGACCGCUCUCUGGAUGCCAUUGUGGCCACGUGUCGGGACGGUCGGCUGCUUGACUCCACGACUUAAAGCUAGAUUUGGCCUUUUAAGCCUCUGUCUCAGUGCCCUCGGGUCCCUUCUGCAGCUCACCUACCUGUCCCUCGGCCUCUGGGGUGGGCUGGCAGGGCUCGUUCUGGGACCUACGUGGGGUGGCAGCAAUGGC
rnacentral:lncRNA from 1 species